ACAACUUUGCGCUGCUCCUCGCUGCCUGCAAUGUGACCACGCCCUGCCCUAGAUACCUGUGUUCCAACUAUUACGAAACGAAUAUGUUAGACAUCAGCUUGCUUGUUUCUUUGAUUCUUCGGUGGAGAGAAACCAAAGAAUCGGUCUGCGCAAAUGUCAGCCAAGGAGCAGACCUUAAUCCCAGAGUGUGGCGCACGUGAGAGGGGAGGAGGUUCCUGGGGAUGAGCAGCCAGCCAUGGAGGCAAUAACAGGAAGGGUGGCCGUCGCCCGUGCAUCGCCUAGACAGAGCUUGGGGGAGGCUCUCUUCCUCUCGUCUGCAUCUCUUUCCUGAUGAAAUCAUGAAAGCAUAUGAUAAAUCAAUUUUAAGAAAAUAAAACAUUUCUAAACUUGAAUCCAGCGGUAAACCUACAUAUGCCAGCAGCAG
rnacentral:lncRNA from 1 species